rnacentral:rRNA from 1 species
GUCCACGCCGUAAACGGUGGGUGCUAGGUGUGGGGAACUUUCCACGUUCUCCGUGCCGCAGCUAACGCAUUAAGCACCCCGCCUGGGGAGUACGGCCGCAAGGCUAAAACUCAAAGGAAUUGACGGGGGCCCGCACAAGCGGCGGAGCAUGCGGUUUAAUUCGAUGCAACGCGAAGAACCUUACCAAGGUUUGACAUAUAGGGAAAUCUCAUAGAGAUAUGAGGUCCGCAAGGGUCCUAUACAGGUGGUGCAUGGCUGUCGU